rnacentral:rRNA from 1 species
UACAGAGGGGGCAAGCGUUAUUCGGAAUUAUUGGGCGUAAAGGGCGCGUAGGCGGCCUGGCAAGUGGAAGGUGAAAUCCCUCGGCUUAACCGAGGAACUGCCCUCCAAACUGCUUGGCUUGAGUCCGGGAGAGGUGAGUGGAAUUCCCAGUGUAGUGGUGGAAUGCGUAGAUAUCUGGAGGAACACCGGUGGCGAAGGCGGCAUCCUGGACCGGUAUUGACGCUGAGGCGCGAAAGCUAGGGGAGCAAACGGG